CUGCUAAUAAAGCAUUUACCUAGCGCUGCUACCACCUGGGCCUGUCUGUGCUCAUUAUCCUUGCCUGCAUCCUUACACUAGUCUCUCUAAACUUUCCGUGCUUCAUUGUGAAGCUAUGGAUAAUACCUACCUUUGUAAGGAAGUUUGAAGUCCUGACAUGAAAGGGACCAGGAGUAGAUCAUUCAUAUUUUCCAUCAUAUGGCAGGGCAGGGGCCUGCUUAUUCGCUUUGCUUCUCUCCCUGAGAAGCAUCAUUAUCACCCCGAGAGAGAUGUGCACUCAGCCAUGGCCACAAGCAAGGCAAUAGGUUAUGUUCAUCUCAACUUCUGGGUUCAGAGUGGAAACCAUCAGAAUUCCUGGGAAAACCUGUCCUGGUGAGAUUCCCAGCCCUGCUGAGCAGCUCUGAGAGGUUCCCAAUCCAGAGAGGAUGAGAGAGCCUUACCCAGCACAAGGAAUGAGAGUUCCUUAAGAUUGUUGCUUGAAAUCUCUAUUGUCCCUCUCCCCCUUCCCAUCCCCCAGAGGUGCUUUGUGUUUCUGACAGCUCAGGACCCCUCUGCCAGCUUAGCUUACUAUAGCUUUUACCACAGGCUGGCCCUGCAGAGGAUCAGCUGAAGAGACAGACAGUUAGUAACCGCAUGGUAACCAAACACUGUUGAAUUUACUUGGGGGAGAGAGUAAUAAUAGUAGUUAGCAUAUUAUGGGUUCAGAGCAUGGUACACACACCAGCUAAGUGAUCCACACGACAUCUCCAGAAAGUAAGUUAGUAUUAUCCCUGUUUUAUGGAUGGAAAAACAGACACAAAGAGGCUGUGUGACUUGCCAGAGGCCACGUGCUGCUUCAGUGGCAGAUCCAAGAUGAGAACAGAGUUGUUUCUGGCCUAGUUCAGGCAGUUUGAGCCACCAAGGACUGUGGGUGCAAGAAGGGGAACAGCAUAGGAGUCACUAGGGACUGGUGUCCUGGUGGGGAAGGAGAAGAGGGCUUGAGUGGAUGACAAAAGGGUGGGGUGGGAGAUGGGAUUGUGUGUACUUUAAACCUAGGCAGAGGGAAACCUCAUUUUGAAACAGUGCUUGAGGGUUCAUCUGCUUCAGCCGUGCCAGUUCCACGCCCUACAACAAAGGGCUUGUUGAAAAGAGGUGGAAGGAAAAAGGAAUUAAAAGAACUGGGAAAUUCUUAAGAUUCUUUCCACUGGAAAAUAUGUCUCCACUUAUCAGUCAGUGUCAACAACAACAACAGACACCUGCCUCUUUAAACUCUGAACAGCGAGAAUCAGGACAAAGGUAAUUUAAGGCCUCAGCUAGUUUAUAAUCGGCCAGGUUUCAGUUCUGGCUCAGAGCUAGGAGCAGGAAAGCUGCCUGUAAUUUGUGCAUGUAUAUGCAUAAGAGGUGGCCCUGAGCUGGAAGAUUAGAUCAAGACACCUCUGAACCGAUGUGUGGUCUGAAUUUCGUGACUUGGGUACGCUGGCCCAUUUCUUACAGCUGUCUCUCUGCAUAUAUAGAGUGUGCAGAUACACAUAUGA